rnacentral:rRNA from 1 species
AUGUGUGGUUCACUACUCAUAAAAAAAAUCCUUGCCUUAGGUGUGGUUAGAACCAAUCCAACUGGAAAGCGGCUGUGCGCGAUUCCGGUUCAUGCGAUGAUGGCACUUCAGAUCCCACACAAGACUAUCACAGCUUUGACAAAGAUUUGUCGCGGCUUCCUUUGGUGUGGGAAAAUGGAAGCUCAUGGAGGGAAUUGCGCAGUGGCAUGGGACUCAAUUUGCCGACCCAGAUGGGCGGGUGGCCUUGGCAUACCGAACCUAAGAUGGUUGAGCACUGCACUGUUGGCGAGAUGGCCGUGGUUGCAACGCACUGACCAGUCCCGGCCCUGGGCUCAGUUAAAGAUCUCGGCCCCGGCCGAAUCAAUGGCGCUCUUUCGCGCGGCGGCUGCAACAUUCGUGGGCGAUGGCACGACAACGCUCUUCUAG